rnacentral:rRNA from 1 species
CUGACUGCUAUCGGAUUGAUACUAAGCCAUGCGAGUCAUUGUAGUAAUACAAGGCAGACGGCUCAGUAACGCGUAGUCAACCUAACCUAUGGACGGGAAUAACCUCGGGAAACUGAGUAUAAUGCCCGAUAGAACAUUAUGCCUGGAAUGGUUUAUGUUCCAAAUGAUUUAUCGCCGUAGGAUGGGACUGCGGCCUAUCAGUUUGUUGGUGAGGUAAUGGCCCACCAAGACUAUUACAGGUACGGGCUCUGAGAGGAGUAGCCCGGAGAUGGGUACUGAGACACGGACCCAGGCCCUAUGGGGCGCAGCAGGCGAGAAAACUUUGCAAUGUGCGAAAGCACGACAAGGUUAAUCCGAGUGGUUUCUGCUAAAGGAACCUUUUGUCGGUCCUAGAAACACCGAUGAAUAAGGGGUGGGCAAGUUCUGGUGUCAGCCGCCGCGGUAAAACCAGCACCUCAAGUGGUCAGGAUGAUUAUUGGGCCUAAAGCAUCCGUAGCCGGCUCUGUAAGUUUUCGGCUAAAUCUGUACGCUCAACGUACAGGCUGCCGGGAAUACUGCAGAGCUAGGGAGUGGGAGAGGUAGACGGUACUCGGUAGGAAGGGGUAAAAUCCUUUGAUCUAUUGAUGACCACCUGUGGCGAAGGCGGUCUACCAGAACACGUCCGACGGUGAGGGGAUGAAAGCUGGGGGAGCAAACCGGAUUAGAUACCCGGGUAGUCCCAGCUGUAAACUAUGCAAACUCAGUGAUGCAUUGGCUUGUGGCCAAUGCAGUGCUGCAGGGAAGCCGUUAAGUUUGCCGCCUGGGAAGUACGUACGC